rnacentral:lncRNA from 1 species
AACAGAUCAGGGCACCGGGUGCCUCGUAACAAGCCUGUGUUGCCAAGCGGAGAAGUUCUUCCAGAGGCAGCCACAUCCCCUAAAGUGAUGAACCCUCAUGCGGCGGAGUUUGUGCCGGGUCAAUCUCGGAGUCCUGAUGGCCAUCCAGGAUCUCCUACUGAACCUCUAGCAUCGCCAGCUGGUAUUCAAGCAUCACUGGAUGGGCUUCCAUCAUCUCCAGAUAGUAUAGUUGAAUCACCCAAGACUGUAUCCCCGCAAGUUUCAGAAACUAGUGAGACUAGUCCCGAAGGAAACGAUACAUCUAGUGGAGUUGAUGUUGAAGCUGGGACUG